CCUACGGGGGGCAGCAGUGGGGAAUAUUGGACAAUGGGGGGAACCCUGAUCCAGCCAUGCCGCGUGUGUGAAGAAGGCCCUCGGGUUGUAAAGCACUUUCAGUGAGGAAGAACGCCUGGUGGUUAAUACCCAUCAGGAAAGACAUCACUCACAGAAGAAGCACCGGCUAACUCCGUGCCAGCAGCCGCGGUAAUACGGAGGGUGCGAGCGUUAAUCGGAAUUACUGGGCGUAAAGCGCGCGUAGGUGGCUUGAUAAGCCGGUUGUGAAAGCCCCGAGCUCAACCUGGGAACGGCAUCCGGAACUGUCAAGCUAGAGUGCAGGAGAGGAAGGUAGAAGUCCCGGUGUAGCGGUGAAAUGCGUAGAGAUCGGGAGGAAUACCAGUGGCGAAGGCGGCCUUCUGGACUGACACUGACACUGAGGUGCGAAAGCGUGGGUAGCAAACAGGAUUAGAUACCCCAGUAGUC
rnacentral:rRNA from 1 species